rnacentral:lncRNA from 1 species
AAUGUUCCAAUCGACACAAUCAAUCCGUUUGUGAAAACAAGUUCGAGUUCAGUUGCUCUAAAUGAUUAUACAGAUUUGGAACUUUAGAAGAAAAUAUUUAUUUAAUUAAUCAUGUGUGUACUUCCCCUUUAAGGGGAUGUUGGUUUAAUGACGCUCAGAAAUUCGGAAGUUCUGGGUUUUUGAAAGAAUUAUGCUGCACCUAGCUCUGUAGGUUCAUAUGUCGAUUUGUUAACCUCAUAAGGAUCGUUUGUAAAUACAUGAAGGCCUCCUACAAGCGCGCGGUGCUCGAAGGAAGAUGAUCAUUAACGCUGUAGCGCGUGAUACGAUUUUAAAACAUGAUUAUGGAAGCGCUCGACUAUCUCAAUAUAAUCUCCCACGGUGGAUUGCAGCCUCAGCAGAAAACCAGUGAGAUUCGCACGUCAAGGAAUUUGUGAAUAUGGUUUUGCGAGUUGUCUGGGGAUCUGGGAAAGGAAUGACAGACUCUCAUCAAUCUUCAAGCAGUUUUUUUCAUGGAGACUUGCCAAGUCUUGACAAACAAAGAAGCAAGGUAAAAACAA